UGUAGGAGCUGCCGCAGGCUGCGAUCUUUUGAUCUUUGUUUUCUAAGGGCCAAGAUCAAAAGAUCGCAGCCUGCGGCAGCUCCUACA
rnacentral:antisense_RNA from 1 species